rnacentral:rRNA from 1 species
UAAGUAGGGUGCAAGCGUUAAUCGGAAUUACUGGGCGUAAAGCGUGCGCAGGCGGUUUUGUAAGUCUGACGUGAAAUCCCCGGGCUCAACCUGGGAAUUGCGUUGGAGACUGCAAGGCUAGAAUCUGGCAGAGGGGGGUAGAAUUCCACGUGUAGCAGUGAAAUGCGUAGAGAUGUGGAGGAACACCGAUGGCGAAGGCAGCCCCCUGGGUCAAGAUUGACGCUCAUGCACGAAAGCGUGGGGAGCAAACAGG